rnacentral:rRNA from 1 species
CAGGAUGGACCCGCGUCUGAUUAGCUAGUUGGUAAGGUAACGGCUUACCAAGGCGACGAUCAGUAGCCGACCUGAGAGGGUGAUCGGCCACAUUGGAACUGAGACACGGUCCAAACUCCUACGGGAGGCAGCAGUGGGGAAUAUUGCACAAUGGGCGAAAGCCUGAUGCAGCAACGCCGCGUGAGUGAUGAAGGCCUUCGGGUCGUAAAACCCUGUCCUCAAGGAAGAUAAUGACGGUACUUGAGGAGGAAGCCCCGGCUAACUACGUGCCAGCAGCCGCGGUAAUACGUAGGGGGCUAGCGUUAUC